rnacentral:rRNA from 1 species
GCAAGUCGAACGCACAGCGAAAGGUGCUUGCACCUUUCAAGUGAGUGGCGAACGGGUGAGUAACACGUGGACAACCUGCCUCAAGGCUGGGGAUAACAUUUGGAAACAGAUGCUAAUACCGAAUGAAACUUAGUGUCGCAUGACACGAAGUUAAAAGGCGCUUUGGCGUCACCUAGAGAUGGAUCCGCGGUGCAUUAGUUAGUUGGUGGGGUAAAGGCCUACCAAGACAAUGAUGCAUAGCCGAGUUGAGAGACUGAUCGGCCACAUUGGGACUGAGACACGGCCCAAACUCCUACGGGAGGCUGCAGUAGGGAAUCUUCCACAAUGGGCGAAAGCCUGAUGGAGCAACGCCGCGUGUGUGAUGAAGGCUUUCGGGUCGUAAAGCACUGUUGUAUGGGAAGAACAGCUAGAAUAGGGAAUGAUUUUAGUUUGACGGUACCAUACCAGAAAGGGACGGCUAAAUACGUGCCAGCAGCCGCGGUAAUACGUAUGUCCCGAGCGUUAUCCGGAUUUAUUGGGCGUAAAGCGAGCGCAGACGGUUGAUUAAGUCUGAUGUGAAAGCCCGGAGCUCAACUCCGGAAUGGCAUUGGAAACUGGUUAACUUGAGUGCAGUAGAGGUAAGUGGAACUCCAUGUGUAGCGGUGGAAUGCGUAGAUAUAUGGAAGAACACCAGUGGCGAAGGCGGCUUACUGGACUGUAACUGACGUUGAGGCUCGAAAGUGUGGGUAGCAAACAGGAUUAGAUACCCUGGUAGUCCACACCGUAAACGAUGAACACUAGGUGUUAGGAGGUUUCCGCCUCUUAGUGCCGAAGCUAACGCAUUAAGUGUUCCGCCUGGGGAGUACGAC